rnacentral:rRNA from 1 species
AUUGAACGCUGGUGGCAGGCUUAACACAUGCAAGUCGAGCGGAGAUGAGGUGCUUGCACCUUAUCUUAGCGGCGGACGGGUGAGUAAUGCUUAGGAAUCUGCCUAUUAGUGGGGGACGACAUUCCGAAAGGAAUGCUAAUACCGCAUACGCCCUACGGGGGAAAGCAGGGGAUCUUCGGACCUUGCGCUAAUAGAUGAGCCUAAGUCGGAUUAGCUAGUUGGUGGGGUAAAGGCCUACCAAGGCGACGAUCUGUAGCGGGUCUGAGAGGAUGAUCCGCCACACUGGGACUGGGACACGGCCCAGACUCCUACGGGAGGCAGCAGUGGGGAAUAUUGGACAAUGGGCGGAAGCCUGAUCCAGCCAUGCCGCGUGUGUGAAGAAGGCCUUAUGGUUGUAAAGCACUUUAAGCGAGGAGGAGGCUACUUUAGUUAAUACCUAGAGAUAGUGGACGUUACUCGCAGAAUAAGCACCGGCUAACUCUGUGCCAGCCGCCGCAGUAAAAC